CGCGGGGUGGAGCAGCUUGGUAGCUCGCCGGGCUCAUAACCCGAAGGUCGUUGGUUCAAAUCCGGCCCCCGCAACCA
rnacentral:tRNA from 3 species